rnacentral:misc_RNA from 1 species
UGUAGAAACGGCCAGUAAUGAACCCUCCUUGUUGAAGCGUAUUCGCGGAGUUGCUGGUAGACCUCCGUCGGCAUCGAUAGUAGUUAAAAGUUGGGUAUUAUCCAUAUCCCAGAAUUUGAUCAGAAACUCAUCACCAGCAGCCAAGAACCGAUUCCUCGUGGUAUCGAAUUGCACGACACCCAAAGACCGUUUAUUGAAACCUGAAUAUGCCCUCUGAA